rnacentral:tRNA from 1 species
AUCUAAAUAGUUUAAUAAAAAUUUUGAUUUGUGGUAUCAAAGAUAUAAGUUUAUUUUAGAUU